AAAUCCGGGUGGCAAUGGGAAGCCGUGAUGCGGAGUGAAAUAAAGUAACGAAGUCCGUGAGCCAUGCGUCAAGAAAAGCCGCUAUUGUUUAUACCGUACCCGUACCGUAAACCGACACAGGUGGAUGAGGAGAGAAUCCUAAGGCCGGCGGAAGAAGCAUUGUCAAGGAACUCGGCAAAAUGGCCCCGUAACUUAGGGAUAAGGGGUGCCUCAGAAAUGAGGCCGCAGAGAAUAGGCUCAAGCAACUGUUUAGCAAAAACACAGGUCUAUGCGAAACCGAAAGGUGAGGUAUAUGGGCUGACGCCUGCCCGGUGCUGGAAGGUUAAGAGGAGAGGUUAGCGCAAGCGAAGCUUUGAAUUUAAGCCCCAGUAAACGGCGGCCGUAACAAUAACGGUCCUAAGGUAGCGAAAUUCCUUAUCGGGUAAGUUCCGACCCGCACGAAAGGCGUAAUGAUUUGAGCGCUGUCUCGACAAUGCAUCCGGUGAAAUUGAAGUACCAGUGAAGAUGCUGGUUACCUGCGCCAGGACGGAAAGACCCCAUGGAGCUUUACUCCAGUUUGGUACUGGGACUCGGUAUUGCAUGUACAGGAUAGGUGGGAGGCUAGGAGAUAGUAACGCCAGUUAUUAUGGAGCCGCUGUUGGGAUACCACCCUUGCAGUAUUGGGUUUCUAACCAGCCGCCGUGACCCGGCGGUGGGACAAUGCCAGACGGGGAGUUUGACUGGGGCGGUCGCCUCCGAAAGGGUAUCGGAGGCGCCCAAAGGUUCCCUCAGAAUGGACGGAAACCAUUCGAAGAGUGCAAAGGCAGAAGGGAGCUUGACUGCGACACCGACGGGUGGAGCAGGUACGAAAGUAGGGCUUAGUGAUCCGGUGGUAUUAAGUGGGAAUGCCAUCGCUCAACGGAUAAAAGCUACCCUGGGAUAACAGGCUUAUCACUCCCAAGAGUUCACAUCGACGGAGUGGUUUGGCACCUCGAUGUCGGCUCAUCGCAUCCUGGGGCUGUAGUAGGUCCCAAGGGUUGGGCUGUUCGCCCAUUAAAGCGGUACGCGAGCUGGGUUCAGAACGUCGUGAGACAGUUCGGUCCCUAUCCGGCGUGGGCGUAGGAUAUCUGAGAGGAGCUGUCCUUAGUACGAGAGGACCGGGAUGGACGGGCCGCUGGUGCAUCGGUUAGACUGCCAAGUCUACGGCCGAGUAGCCAAGCCCGGAAGGGAUAAACGCUGAAGGCAUCUAAGCGUGAAGCCCCCCUUAAGAUGAGAUAUCCCAUUCGAAAGAAGUAAACCCCCUUGAAGACGACGAGGUAGAUAGGGCAGAGGUGGAAGUGCAGUAAUGCAUGGAGCUGACUGUUACUAAUCGGGUGAGGGCUUGACCU
rnacentral:rRNA from 1 species